ACUUGUAUACCUCUACCACUAAAGUAUGACCCAGUCAGUUUCAAAUAAGUGGUCGGGGGUUCAGAAUUCAAAAAAAUUGUCUAUUUUCAUUAACGUGUUUACACUUAGAUUAUACACUGUAUGUAUUUUAACUCCAUAUUUUAAAUAUCAAUUACUUUUUUAUUUCUUGUUUGACUCCUAUUUCUGUUUCUUGUGUUUCAGCUCAUAGAUCAACUAAAACCUGGAGGACGAUUGAUAUUACCAGUUGGACCAGCUGGCGGAAACCAAAUGUUGGAACAAUAUGAUAAGCUAGAAGAUGGAAGUGCCAAAAUGAAACCUCUGAUGGGGGUGAUAUACGUGCCUUUAACAGAUAAAGAAAAGCAGUGGUCCAGGGAUGAAUUGUAAAAAUUCCACCACUCCGAUCCAAAAAUAGUAUUAAAAUGGGAUGCUGUACUGUACUCCCAGAAGCUUAUUUUAUUAAUAUUAUUUUUAAUCAACGGCAAUGCAGCUUGUUUUGGAUUUGUUACGCUGUUGAAAGCGGCAUGGAAAUGUGGUUUUCUUUGGCUUUUCUAAAACUGCGAAUAAGUUGCAAGUGACAUCUGAAGAACUUACAUUAAAGCAGAUUAAUUUAUUAAUUUGUUAUUGAAGCAGGAAUGUUCAAUCAUUUUGAUGCAAGACAACUCAAACUGUGUAAUAUCUGAUUUUUGAAAUGAAUGACAUUUUGUUUUAAUCUUUGGCUACCUUUUCAACUUCAGCAAUCAGCCUCGUUGUUAACGUAACAAGUGGGUCACCAAAUGGCACUACAGUACUCGCACAACUUUGUUUCUGCUAAACGCUGCUAAACAUCUAGAAAAUAAGCUUCCUUCUCAGAGCUUGUUUUUGACGUGGUGUUGUAGAAAAGCAUGUUGUGGCUCGUCAAAAGCCUUCCUUUAUUGCUAGGCAAAGUGUAUGUUUGCAUUUACAGUUCUGCCAGGCUUUAAGCACAUUGCCCAGCAAAUGUCACGAGUGAAAGCUCUAGACGCCCAAAAUUAUGCUGCUCAGAUUGAACAUUUUAAGACAUUUUCAUUUAUAGUGGCAACCUACGCUAUGUCCAUAUUCCUUCCUUUUGAUGCAGUUUGAAGUUCAUUUUGUGUUUAAACCUUUAGUAUGUACUGUGUAAGCUAUGUUCUUGUCACUGAACAGUUUAUGCAGUUUUGCUUUGCCAAAUAAAUUACAAAGCAGAAACCA